AUUGAGGAUUAUGAUUGCCCUACUCUCGUCGCUUCUAACUUUGUUUCCUUAGAAGAUAGCUUCGGUGAAAAAAAAGUUCCUAUAACCAUUAUAACUGGCUACCUAGGUUCAGGGAAAACAACCUUACUUAAUCAUAUUCUUACUGAACAGCAUAACAAAAAAAUUGCUGUUAUUCUUAACGAAUUUGGAGAGGGGAGUGUUAUGGAAAAAUCUUUAUCUGUUCGUAAGGAAGGUGAACUUUUUGAAGAAUGGUUAGAGCUACGCAACGGUUGUCUUUGCUGCUCCGCCAAAGAUAGCGGCGUGAAGGCAAUUGAAGCCCUUAUGGAAAAACGUGGCCAGUUUGACUAUAUACUCCUCGAAACUACUGGACUUGC